GAGGGUAUAGCUCAGUGGUAGAGCACUGCUUGGCAUGCAUGAGGUCCUGAGUUCAAUUGCCAGUCCCUCCA
rnacentral:tRNA from 1 species